rnacentral:rRNA from 1 species
CCUACGGGUGCACCAGUGGGGAAUAUUGGACAAUGGGCGAAAGCUUGAUCCAGCAAUGCCGCGUGUAUGAAGAAGGCCUUCGGGUUGUAAAGUACUUUCAGCGGGGAGGAAGGGAGUAAAGUUAAUACCUUUGCUCAUUGACGUUACCCGCAGAAGAAGCACCGGCUAACUCCGUGCCAGCAGCCGCGGUAAUACGGAGGGUGCAAGCGUUAAUCGGAAUUACUGGGCGUAAAGCGCACGCAGGCGGUUUGUUAAGUCAGAUGUGAAAUCCCCGGGCUCAACCUGGGAACUGCAUCUGAUACUGGCAAGCUUGAGUCUCGUAGAGGGGGGUAGAAUUCCAGGUGUAGCGGUGAAAUGCGUAGAGAUCUGGAGGAAUACCGGUGGCGAAGGCGGCCCCCUGGACGAAGACUGACGCUCAGGUGCGAAAGCGUGGGGAGCAAACAGGAUUAGAUACCCGGGUAGUC